GGUGGGGUCCUGCAUGUGAACGCAGACUGGAUCUUGGGAGAGGUCUUGCUUCUUAGCUAGAUCUUCCUUGCUUCUUCUAGAAUUAGCCUCUAACACUAAGUGCCCAAACCAAACAUGGACAUCUUCUUUAUAUUGUAUUUCAACUUCAUUUGUUUUGGGGGCUCCUCAGGCCCAAAGCUGAGAAACUUGUCUUGAGAUGCCCAUCCUAUCACCAGCUCUUCAUCAGUGGAGAAGGAAGUGCCAUUCUCAUUUUCCUAAGCUGCAGCGGUGGGUUGCCUCUCCGUCCACAAUCUGAAAAUGUUCAUGGGCCUUGGUGAUGGUGAUGGUGAUAGAGAGGGGGAGCUGGAGCCUGACGUGCCUUCAUCCCCCUUUCCUCUUGAGGUAGAGAGGCUUCCUUCCGGCCAUGAAGUUGCACAGUGGCUUCGUGAGGCCUUCUCUUUACUUUCUCUUCUUUUGAUAGGCUAAAGUCACUAGUCUGUGGUGGAGGUGGGAGGGCAAAAGAGUUUCACCUGAAACUCUUGGCUUGACCAGCCAUUCUUCUCUCUUUAAUGUCUCCAGCUCUGCUUCUUUUUAGAUUAAGAGGCAGAAUGAAAAAUCUCUUCUUUAGAAGAAGUCAGUAAACCAAGGAUCAAAGCCCAGAUUGGACUUUCGCACUCUUACCAGCUUGCUGUUUGGCUAGGGGUACCAAUCACCACCCUUCCCUCUGACUGCGAGUGAAUCCACACUGGUUCAGAGCCUUAUUUCUGGGUUCCUGUCUGUACUCUCAAAACCUUCUUUCAGGAGCAAGUAUAAUAACCCCACCAGAUGUUCUGUGUGUUGGGUUGCCGAGAAGGUGGAAGUUUUUUUCAACCUCAUUUUAAGCUGUUAGAAAAACACUCAGUAGAUUGAAUUUGGUCCAAAGACACCACCAUCCCCUGAGGGAUCCCAUGUAGGAUAAGGAUAAAUGAAGCAUCCAUACAGGGGUCAUUAAUGGCUGCUCACAUCUUAGAGAAGGAAGAGUCUGGGUAUCUUGGUUGCCAUAUACUCUGGUGGAACAGUGGCCAGUCAUUAAAAUCACAUGGGUGUUGUCUUCUGCGGUGUAGAAGACAGUAGUAGUAGUUAGGGUUUCGGACGAGAGCUGGUGAAAAGCUACCGGCUUUGGAGCCCUGGCUGGGAGAGCUAGAUUGGACAGUUUUAACCCCGUGGCUCAAAUGCUCAGCUCCUGUCACUGGUCCUUGGUUGUCACCAUUCCCAUCACACUAGAUGGGGACGUGAAUGGCUGCCUGGGCCUGCCUUUCUUUCGGGUCUUGAAGAAGUGUGCUCCACCAAUCCUACCUCUCUGUGGCACUGGAUUUCCUGGAUUUAUUUUGCGAACUAGGGCAGGUUCUCCCUCGCCACCCCGUAUACACACCAGUUAGCUUCCCUUCCCUUUUCCUUUCCCCACUUCUGUAUGGCUCCAGGGAUCGUGAACAUGUG
rnacentral:lncRNA from 1 species